UACGAAGGGGGCUAGCGUUGCUCGGAAUCACUGGGCGUAAAGGGUGCGUAGGCGGGUCUUUAAGUCAGGGGUGAAAUCUUUCGGCUUAACCGGAAAAUCGCCUUGAUACUGCAGGUCUUGAGGGAGGUAGGGGCAUCGCGGAACUUCCGGUGGAGCGGUGAAAUGCGUUGAUAUCGGAAGGAACUCCGGUGGCGAAAGCGGCGUGCUGGAUCUCUUCUGACGCUGAGG
rnacentral:rRNA from 1 species